ensembl:lncRNA
GGAGGACGCCCCCCGCCGCGCCCGCGGGCCGCCGGACUCGCGCCUCAGAAAACCACAGGUCCUGGCUGAACAAGUUCAAGAAUUAUUUGGAGGAUCACAUCAAGAACUCCGUGCCUCCAGCAGCCGUUUUUGCUUUUCUGGUCAUCUCAGUCAUCAUGGGGAUCCUCUGUUGCCUCACGUAAGCUGCUGUGGGGUGAAGAGAGCGAAAGGGGCGUGGGGGAGAGGCAGGAACGGUCAGGUUCCCCACCAGCCUGCACAUUUAUAAUUCAGGGAAAGUUUUCAGGAAGGUAAUUCUUGGUUUAUCCAACCCACUCCAUCCAUUACCAGCGACUUACAGGUGACAUUGAAUACCCAGUGUUUAUAGCUGAUCUCUUUUUUCUAACUUCAUUAACUCCGUCUUUCCCUUUGGUUUAGGAAUUAUGCAUGGACAAUAUCUAAUUAACUAUGUGUUCAAUUGCCUGAAACUUUGCCACAGUAUUUACCUAUGUAAAUCAUAUGAAG